ensembl:lncRNA
CUUUGCAUUCAGACAGGAGGACAAAGCUGCUGGCAAGUCAUGGGACUUGCUCUCUCUCUCACUGCCUGGCAGUGUGUGGUUGUGCUCCCCAGCCAUUUUGCCUUCAAUUCAGAGAAAAAAUUGCAUGUUUCAAAACUGAUAGCUUUCAGCUGCCAGAUGUAUCAAGAGGAAAUGUACUUGCUACCUUCAUUCCAAUCACAGGUUUCCAAGGAAACAAGCCUAAUUAGGGGAGUGUGACUGCUGCUGGGAAAUACAGUCUAGCAGAGAGCACUGGGCAAGGAGCUGGAAGAGCCCUCUUUGAAGCCCAGGCUGCCCUCUCACCAACUGGGCUUUGAUACCUGACUGUGCCUUAGGACUAAGCAGUCCCACCACUUGGCCUGUAUCUCCUAUGCUCCUCAAGCAGAACGUCUAUGAGGUGAAGAAAUCUCCCUGCUCUUUCUCAUAUUCCAAGUGGGCUCUCCUGGGUCCUUCCAGGACAAGCAGGUGGCCAGAAUCAUAGAAUACAAUCACAGAAUCAAGGCUGGAAAAGACCUCUAAGACCAUCUAGCCCAACCAGCAGCCCAUCACACCGUGCCCACUGCCCAUGUCCCUCAGUGCCACAUCCACAGAGUUCAUGAACACCUCCAGAGACAAUGACUCCACCAGUGGCAGCCUGUGCCACUGCCUCACUGAUCUUCUGAGAAGAAAUUGUUCCUAACAUCCAACAUGAACCUCCCCUGGCACAAUUUGAGGCCUUUUCCUCUCAUCUUUUUGCUGUUACCUGGGAGAAGCAGCCAACCCCCACCUUGCCACAUCCUCCUUUCAGGUGGUUGUAGAGAGCAAUGAGGUCUCCCCCGAGCCUCCUCUUCUCCAGACUGAACAAUCCCAGCUCCCUCAGCCGCCCUCCAUCAGACUUGUACUCCAGACCCUUCACAACUUCGAAGGCCCAGGCUGGAACAUUCCACAGCAUUCAAUUGCUGAUACGCGGUUCAUUCAGACACAGCAGCUUUCAACAGAGGCAGCCUGCUCACUACAGAUUAAAUCUUUGGAAAAUUUGCUGCAAACACAUCUCUUUGGAGCAUGGCAAACUGAAGUGCAUUGUGCAUGGCAUGUGGGUUGUGGUUGGUUGUGUGUUUUGGGGUGGCACGCCAGCUUUCUUCUUCUCAGUGAGAAAAUUAUUGAAGUCUUUUUUUUUUUUAAUUAUUAUUAUUAUUUUCUUCUUCAUACACAGUGAAUACAUAUAUUUGUCAGCCUCCCUAUGACUGAACUUAAAAACAAAAUCAACCUGAGGCAGAUAUCUUGCAGAGGCAACUCCAGCCCUAGCAGCAAGGGUUUAAUUAAGUAAAAACAAAUUGAGUCUUGUACAGAAAGUGCUGGGAACAUUAACUAUAGAUACCAGUGCUAUUUCUGUUUCCAUAUUUCAGCUGUUGGUAUUUUCUCCAUUUUAUGAAGCACCAGGACAGAACUAUGAUUCUACAUUUCAGAUGGUUUUGAGAUGGUGUGCUUAGCUUGGCACAACUCUCCUUUUUAUCAAUUUUUAAACCCCUUCCCUUUAUUUUAAUUAUAUUUGCUAUGUUCUCCAAAUACUUAACAUUCUAUAAUUGAGAGGUAAUAGAAACAUGACUUAAACAAACUAAUUGGCUAACGUGUUAAUGUCUGCUACAUAUUUACUCAAGCUAUUUCAGAAAAUAAAAACACUGAUUUCAUUUCCUUCCAAAUCCUAGCAGUAGCAGGUCUGGGAAAAGCAUUUCUUCUUCAGGAUUAGUGAUGGAAUGGCUACUUCACAGAUGCUUAUGGUGUAGAGCCUCAGACACACACCCAACUGCUGCUAGCAAUGUCUGUGCAUCCCAAUACACCUACUCUGGGAUCAAGGCACUGAGCUUCUGUGGCUGUUUUUAACAGAGAAGGCAUCUAAACGAAAAGGAGAAACUAUUGCAAAACCUGUGUUACCUACUGCAGUCUAACUGAGAAAUCAGAACCAGGCCUCUUGCUUUCCUGUAAACAGCUGUAAUAGCAAAGCUGAUCAUCUUCAGGAGACUACAGUAUGAACAAUAUUCAUUCUUUUUAUUUCUGUUUUAAAGGACUACAAAAGGAAUGAAGCAGGGUGAAGUUGUCUAAGCCAUUAAGAUUUAGUCUUGUGCCUUUUGAAAUUAUUAAGAAUAUUCCUGUAGUUAAAAGAAAAACAGAUCAGGACCUUAGAAGGAAAAUUGAAUUGGGG